rnacentral:rRNA from 1 species
UACGGAGGGUGCAAGCGUUAUCCGGAUUCACUGGGUUUAAAGGGUGUGUAGGCGGGCAGAUAAGUCAGUGGUGAAAUCCCCGAGCUUAACUUGGGAACUGCCAUUGAUACUAUUUGUCUUGAAUGUCGUGGAGGUUAGCGGAAUAUGUCAUGUAGCGGUGAAAUGCUUAGAUAUGACAUAGAACACCCAUUGCGAAGGCAGCUAACUACGCGAAUAUUGACGCUGAGGCACGAAAGCGUGGGGAUCAAACAGG